rnacentral:rRNA from 1 species
AACGUAGGGUGCAAGCGUUGACCGGAUUCACUGGGCGUAAAGCGCGUGUAGGCGGUCCGUCAAGUCGGGUGUGAAAUCUCGAGGCUCAACCUCGAAAUCGCAUCCGAUACUGGCGGACUUGAGGACGGUAGAGGUCGGUGGAAUUCCCGGUGUAGCGGUGAAAUGGGCAGAUAUCGGGAGGAACACCCGUGGCGAAGGCGGCCCCCUGGGCCGUACCUGACGCUGAGGCGCGAAGGCUAGGGGAGCGAACGGG